GGCUCCUUGGUCAAGCGGUUAAGACACCGCCCUUUCACGGCGGUAACAGGGGUUCGAUUCCCCUAGGAGUCACCA
rnacentral:tRNA from 3 species